CGUUGAGAAGUUCGUUGUGCAAAUCAAUGCAUCUUGAAAUUUAACCUUAUUAAUAAAAUAAUGUAAAGCGAAAUAAGUUUAAAAGUAAUAAAAUUAUUUUAAAAUUGUAUAGUUUUAGUAGAAUGAAUCGAAAUAAUAACAAUAAAGAGUAAUAGAAAAGAGUACUGUAAAGGAAAGGUGAAAUAAAUUGAAAAAGAAGUUAAUAGAAAGUAAUAAUAAAAAUUUGUACCUUGUGUAUUAGGGAAAAUCAAAAUUGGUUUAUUAUCUAAAAGAUCCCGAAAAAAGAAGAGCUAACAGAAUCUGGUAGUUUUCGUUUUAAUGAAAUUACGAAGUUUAUGUUAGUAGUGAAAUGCUAGACGAUUCUUUAUAUCUGGUUGUUAGCGAAUUAAAUUAAAUUUAGUUAUUUUUGGUUGGUAUAAAUAAACUAAAAAAUAAAAAAGAGCAGAAGGGAAAAGCUUUUUGUUCUAACAUAAAGAUACCAUAAUAUAAGCUGCAAUAUCAUUGAAUUAGGCUUGAAAACAGCCAUAUU
rnacentral:rRNA from 1 species